UAGCUUGUUAGUAAGGAGUGAGACCGGAUGUCAUUUGGUAACUUCCGCCCUGCCCCACAUACCGCGCAUGCGCGCGGGCAUCGCCCACUGCCCGUACAUUACAGUUUACAACCCCAAAACAAAAACGUAGCAAUUAGCCGAGACAGUUGUAUAUCCCCCAAAAAACUAGCGUUAUAAACUCAUCCUGCCAGUGAUUAUUUAUUUAAUUCGAUGAAUAUCAUCCACUUUUAUCACUUCAUUCAAAGGGAAUGAUGUUCGGGGGCCAGUGACGGAAUGGAGGCGAGAGGCGGCCCGGCUGGCCUGAGGAAGCUCAACAGCGACACCACGUGGGCGCCUGAGACGUACAGUAGCGCUCCCGAAGACUAUCCAGGAGCGCCCGGGCAAAAAACAACAGAGCGUUUGAAGACCUCCCUGACAUUUUGACUCUCUCAGAAGAUGACUUUGCCUUCUACUAUAUAGCCUGCGGGAACAUAGUAAGACCCACACUCGGCUUCCAUUGAUAUGCAGCGGCGCAAUCCUCCGGGGGAAAUUAUCAUUCUGUUGGUAAUAGGAGCCACAACAAGCACCUGCGAAAUGACUUUAUUACACACUGGGCUUCAAUAAAAACUUUCAGAUGACCCAUAGACGCGCACGCUAAUGGCGUUAAAGUAGCUCAUCCAAGCAUUUGGUCUUAUGUGGACGAGCCAAAAUGUCCCCACAAUGUCACGGCGUCCCCCACAAUAAAAAGUGGAACGUCAAGAUGCCGAGAAAAACACGCGCGGACUAGUUUCAAUUUUCUGUGGACCAGCAAGAAUGUACCAGAGUAGGGUUGGGAAUUAACGGGAAUAUAUGGGGAAUUAAUGGGAAUAAACAUUGAAUGCAACAUGCUA